rnacentral:rRNA from 1 species
AACGAACGCUGGCGGCAGGCUUAACACAUGCAAGUCGAACGAGAUCUUCGGAUCUAGUGGCAGACGGGUGAGGAACACGUGGGAACAUCCCUUUCAGUUCGGAAUAACGUUGGGAAACUAACGCUAAUACCGGAUACGUCCUUCGGGAGAAAGAUUUAUCGCUGAAAGAUUGGCCCGCGUCUGAUUAGCUAGUUGGUGAGGUAACGGCUCACCAAGGCUACGAUCAGUAGCUUAUCUGAGAGGAUGAUCAGCCACAUUGGGACUGAGACACGGCCCAAACUCCUACGGGAGGCAGCAGUGGGGAAUAUUGGACAAUGGGCGCAAGCCUGAUCCAGCCAAGCCGCGUGAGUGAUGAAGGCCUUCGGGUUGUAAAGCUCUUUUGUCCGGGAAGAUAAUGACUGUACCGGAAGAAUAAGCCCCGGCAAACUUCGUGCCAGCCGCCGCAGUAA